rnacentral:RNase_P_RNA from 1 species
CGACCAGAUUAGACAGCCGCGCGCAGCGCCCGAAAGGGUCUGUGUGAGGAAAGUCCGGGCUCCACAGGGCAAGGAUAACGGGUAACGCCCGCCGGGGGUGACCCCAGGACAAGUGCAACAGAAAGAUACCGCCCGGCGCAGGCCGGGUAAGGGUGAAAAGGUGCGGUAAGAGCGCACCCAGCCUAUGGAGACAUAGGUUUUAUGCUGUAAACUCUAUCCGGAGCAACACCGUGGAGGGACAUUCGGCCGGCCCGGCCGUCCCGAGGAGGUGGCUGGAACCUGUCGGCAACGGCAGGUCUAGAUAGAUGGCUGUUCAAACAGAACCCGGCUUACAGAUCCGGUCACACA